rnacentral:rRNA from 1 species
UACGGGGGGAGCAAGCGUUGUCCGGAUUUACUGGGCGUAAAGGGCGUGCAGGCGGUUUGUUAAGUGCAGAGUGAAAGCUCCCGGCUCAACUGGGAGAGGUCUUUGCAUACUGGCAAACUCGAGGGAGGCAGAGGAAAGUGGAAUUCCCGGUGUAGUGGUGAUAUGCGUAGAUAUCGGGAGGAACACCUGUGGCGAAGGCGGCUUUCUGGGCCUUACCUGACGCUGAGACGCGAAAGCGUGGGGAGCGAACCGG